rnacentral:snRNA from 1 species
AUCACUUCUUGGCCUUUUGGCUAAGAUCAAGUGUAGUAUCGGUUCUUAUCAGUUUAAUAUCUGAUACGUCCCCUAUCUGGGGACCAUAUAUUAAAUUGAUUUUUGGAAAAGGGAGUUGGAAUAGGGGCUUGCUCUGUCCACUCCACGCAUCAACCUGGUAUUGCGGUACUUCCAGGAGCGGUGCACUUUCU